rnacentral:rRNA from 1 species
GUGUCAGCAGCCGCGGUAAUACAGAGGGUGCAAGCGUUAAUCGGAAUUACUGGGCGUAAAGCGAGCGUAGGUGGCUUGAUAAGUCAGAUGUGAAAGCCCCGGGCUUAACCUGGGAACGGCAUCUGAUACUGUUAGGCUAGAGUAGGUGAGAGGAAGGUAGAAUUCCAGGUGUAGCGGUGAAAUGCGUAGAGAUCUGGAGGAAUACCGAUGGCGAAGGCAGCCUUCUGGCAUCAUACUGACACUGAGGUUCGAAAGCGUGGGUAGCAAACAGGAUUAGAUACCCUGGUAGUCCACGCCGUAAACGAUGUCUACUAGUCGUUGGGUCCCUUGAGGACUUAGUGACGCAGCUAACGCAAUAAGUAGACCGCCUGGGGAGUACGGCCGCAAGGUUAAAACUUAAAGAAAUUGGCGG